ACAAUUAUACAGCAAAGUCUCCUGGGAGGGUUUAUAUGUUAAGCUCUGUCAGUAAUUUCUCCCCUAGCAAGAAUGAGGGAGAUGAAGAGCUCGGGUAUCUGAGGGCUGGUGUGUCUGCAUGCGUGUGUGUUUUGGGGGCCGACUGAAGGAAGAGAAGGCUGGAGAGAGGGAACAUGGGUCUGAGGGCACAUCGCUAAGGGGUCAAGAAGCCUAAAGGGGGAGUCUAAGGCUCUCCAUCGAACUUGGACUUGGUCUACAUUAGACUUUAACCUCCAUGAGGCUUGGACUUUCAGGCUUCCUCCCUCACACCGCGGGCAGGUGAGGCGUCUGCUACAGGCCUGGUCUCGCAGAGGGGGCCCAGCGCCCCCCGCCCCCCGCCGCCGCCUUCUCCUGGAGUCUGUGUGACAGAAUGGGACCUGUGGGAAAGCAGCACGUCAGCACCCAGCCCCGCUUGCGCGCCAGCAGCUAAUUAAAGCCAGGAAGGUGAUGGCGAUUUUCAACUCAUUCCCGUUACAAACAGCCGACCUUCCUACCGAGUUCAAGUACCUUCUGCCUGGCCUGGAAGAACAAUAUCUCUCUGUCUCCCUCUUCCACUGGCCCUCACCUGCCUUCCCCUGAACAUGCAUUUUGCCUGACAGGAGGCAGAGGCAGUUGAGAUGGAGUCUUGCUAUAUGGCCCAGCUGGUAAUGCCUAGAUUCUUGAGUCCCUCCCUGGCUCAUCCCUGGGAGCAGCACUGAACCCCAUAUCUGACACCUGUCUGGAAAUGGAGCCUGCACAUUGACCCUAGGUGCUUGCAGCUUGGUCCAGGAGGCCAGCAGGACCAGACAGAAGACCACAGUGACACAUGGGGAUGGCUGUCCCACAGGCAGAAAUGAGCAGCCGGGAGGAAGCCCGGGCAGCCAGCCACCCAGCUCCCUCCACAUCGUGGCCCUAGAACGGAGUCUUGAAGAAUAAGAAGCCACAGCUUGUCAGGGAAUCAGGCUGGAAAAAUGUUAUGAGACUGAGUAAGACCAGAGAUUCCUCAGCAGUGCCUGGAGAAGACCAGGAGAGGAAGCAGAAGACCCUCCUCAAAGAAGCAGCCUUCACCUCCAGACCUCCCAGCGGGACUUAGACAAUGGGGUUAGGCAGUCACAUGUCUGCACGUGGAAACUUUCUGGGACUGCGCUUGGAUCCUGGCUCUGCCUUUUACUAGCCAUGUGACCUUGGGAAAAUCACUUGACUUCUCCGUGCAGGAUUCCUCGUCUGUAAAAACGGUCUAAGAUUAGGAGCCACCUCAAGGUUGUUGUAGGAAUUAAAUUAAUUCAUGUUUAUAAAGUGCUUUGAACAGCGUUUGGCACAUGGUAAAUGCUAUGCGGUAAGUGCUGUCUAUUGAUUACAUAAAUAAAAGUGAUCACCAUUAGACUUUCCAUGCAGAUGAUAUUAUGCAUAUACAUAUCUCCCACAUAUGAUGUCAUUGGAUCAUUUUGCAAUGGUGGGGGGUUUAUUCUUUUUCUUUUUGUUUUCUUUUUUUUUUGUCAGAUGAAGAAACCGAUGGGAAGUGAAUUGGUUUGUAUUAAACAUUAGGUUUGCUAGGUCUCUCACAUAUUUAUUUAGUCCUCAUAACAAUUGUAUAAAAUAAAUAUUAUUUAUUCAUUUAUUUAUUUGUAAAGAUGGGUCUCGCUAUGUUGCCCAGGCUGGUCUUGAACUCCCGGGCUCAAGUGAUCCUCCUGCCUUGGACUUCCAAAGUAUUGGGAUUAAAGGUAUGCGCUACUGCACCCGGCCUAAAAGAAAUACUAUUAUCCCCAUUUUACAGAUUUGUAAACAGAAGCUCACGCUUCAGAGUUCCAUCCUAAUGAAAGUAGGAUGUGACAGGGGAGCAAAUCUGCUUUGCCCCCGCCCAAGGGCUGGCAGCUCCUCCUCCUGGGGUGCACGGUGAGUGGGUGCACCACUCAUCUGUAUGUACCUGGCAGAAGCUGUCAAUUCAGUUCACGUCACUCAAGUUGAAUGGAUGUAAAACACACACAGAAACACCAAAUAAUUGCAUUGUUUUCAAAUUACUCACCUCUAGGAGAAUUGAAUGAGCGAACGGAAGAGCAGCAACCCUGAGUUACAUUUCUCAAGACACCGGGGCUCUUGAUGGCACAGCAGCAGAUUGCUAGAGCUUGGUAAAGAGACUUAGGCCUGGUACCUGAAGGGCAAUUCCUUGGCCAUGACAUUGUAGGGAAAGACCUCUAUGGGUGUUGAAAAGACAAGGCGAGGACAAGAAGAGUUGAAAAGGAGCUGUUCUGAAGCCACCUGGCUGUGGAUGGAGGAAGCCACAUGUAGCUUAGGUAGCCUGCUAUUGUAAUUUUUUCUGCAACUGAAGAAUUCAAAAUGGGUUUGGGGGGUAGCAAAGGGCAGAAUCUGGCUUCAAGGUGACAGAGUUUGCAUAGAGAUGGCCUUCUUGAGCAAAGGUAGUGACUCCUACAUUUUUUUUUUGUAGAGAGAUACCCAUGAGUUAGUCAGCUUGGGCUAUCAUAACAAAAUACCACACAUUGUUUGGCUUAAACAACAGAAAUUCAUUUUCCUGUAAUUCUGGAGGCUGGAAGUCCAAGAUCAAGGUGACGACAGAGUUGGGUUUCCUCUGAAGCCUCUCUCCUUGGUUUUCAGAUGGGCGUCCUCUUGCUGUCUCUUCAUGUGACUGUCCCUCUGCAUGUGUGCCCCUGGGGACUCUUUCUUAUCUUAUAAUGACACUAGUUCUAUUGGAUUGAAGUGUACCCAUACGACCUCAUUUAAACUUAAUUACAUAUUGUAAGGCCCUAACUCCAAAUACAGUCACAUCCUGAGGUACUGUGGAUUAGGGCUUCAACAUAUAAAUUUUGGGGCAAUCCAGUUCAGCCCGUAAAAUCCCUUUUUGGUUGCUUGAUUCUGUUUAUUUGGUGUCAUGCCUUCCUUUUCCUAAAGAACUUCAUGAAUAGAAUUACUUUCUAAGUGAAAGGAACAAAACUGAUUUUUAUUAAAAAUUAUUUUGAGAUGCUUGUGACAAAUUUUGAAGUAAGUGAAGAUUUUCCUGGAGCUUCUACAAAAUCCUGGCUGAGAAUCCCUGCUUUCUGGACAGUUGAGAAGGAAACACAUAGUACAGCUGUUAGAGAGAUAUAGUUGCAACCACUGAGUGCUUAUUAUCUGCCAACUUAAAUAUAUUGCCCAAGGGAAUAACAAAUAUUCUAGUAUUCUUGUUAAGUAUAUUGUCUAAGGUCACACAGCUCUUAAACAACAGCUUCGGGAUUUGAACCUGGAAUCUAUCUGACUCCUAAGUCCAGAUGCUGUUCACCACAUUAGGUUGAAGCAUGGCCAGUGUUCAUAACAUACAACUAUGUCUCCAUAUCUUUUGCUAACCAAUGUUCUUGUGCGUACAUACCUUACAGGGCAGCCAUUCACCACAAGCCCUACUAGAUGGCUUCCUGUAAUAAGGGUAGAACAGUAGUACUCUCCUUUUGAGAAGUUAUUUGUAAUUUUGUUGGUGGGCUGACAUUUAGGCCCUGCUCUCCAGCCCCAGAGGGGAUCCCAUAACCUAGAUCAGGCCAAUGAUGAUUAUCUCCAUGACUGUAGUGGCUGGUCCAGCGGGGAGGGUCAGGCAGGUAAGCUGGCCCAACCUGAGUCCUUCUUGAGGAUUUUAGAAACUGAAGGUAGGAGAGAAAAAUUCUCUCUUUUCUUCUGGGGAACGGGAUGAAGGUGGUGGGUAGGCAGAGCUGUUGGGAUGUGAAUCCAGGGAUCCUGGAAGUCCUGUCCUCCACCAUGUAAAGAAUACAUCCUGCAGAAGGAGAGAAGGGAGCCAGCACACAGAGAAGCAGAGUCAGGAGAUGGAGAAGGAGAAUCCUGAGAGCCUGAAGGUCCCUGGGUCCAGCCAUUGUCAAGGCCGAGUUCUACCGUCCUUAAGUUGUUUACCUUUCUUUCUUGCUUGCUUCUGUUAGAAGAUGAACACUCAAUGAAAAAUCACCAAACAUCUGAGGAAAGCCAUCAAAAUGAAAUAAACAAAACAAACAAGUUCCUAAACACAAGUGAACAGCGUGGGCUGGGUUUUUGUCGCUUGGAACUGGAAACGCUGACUAUAAUGCUGACCUCUGAGCAGACCCACGUGAGGGGCAGCUGUGGUGUGGUGUGAUGAUGCUGGGAUAGGCAAUCAGAUGGUUGAGUCUGAGUUUGGCUCUGAUAUUAUAUCAACUGCAUCAUUUUGGGGAAGACACAAUUUCUCAGAAUUUUAUUUAGUUGUAAAAUAAAGAUAAUGAUAUUACA